rnacentral:rRNA from 1 species
CUUUCAACAACGGAUCUCUUGGUUCUGGCACCGAUGAAGAACGCAGCGAAAUGCGAUAAGUAAUGUGAAUUGCAGAAUUCAGUGAAUCAUCGAAUCUUUGAACGCACAUUGCGCCCGCCAGUAUUCUGGCGGGCAUGCCUGUUCGAGCGUCAUUUUCAACC